rnacentral:rRNA from 1 species
AUUGAACGCUGGCGGCAGGCCUAACACAUGCAAGUCGAGCGGAUGAAGGGAGCUUGCUCCUGGAUUCAGCGGCGGACGGGUGAGUAAUGCCUAGGAAUCUGCCUGGUAGUGGGGGAUAACGUCCGGAAACGGGCGCUAAUACCGCAUACGUCCUGAGGGAGAAAGUGGGGGAUCUUCGGACCUCACGCUAUCAGAUGAGCCUAGGUCGGAUUAGCUAGUUGGUGGGGUAAAGGCCUACCAAGGCGACGAUCCGUAACUGGUCUGAGAGGAUGAUCAGUCACCCUGGAACUGGGACCCGGUCCCGACUCCUACGGGAGGCCGCAGUUGGGAAUAUUGGGCAAUGGGCGAAAGCCUUAUUCAGCCCUGCCGCGUGUUUGAAGAAGGUCCUCGGAUUGUAAAACCCUUUUAUUUGGGAAGAAGGGACGUUAAGUUAAUCCUUUCCUUUUUGACGUUACCAACAGAAUAAGCACCGGCUAACUUCGUG